AGAAGAAGGCCUUAUGGUUGUAAAGCACUUUAAGCGAGGAGGAGGCUUACCUGGUUAAUACCUAGGAUAAGUGGACGUUACUCGCAGAAUAAGCACCGGCUAACUCUGUGCCAGCAGCCGCGGUAAUA
rnacentral:rRNA from 1 species